GGGACAUCUCUGCCUGGACCAAUUGUGUGUUCAAGACCCAGCUGCCCAACCGCAAGGACUGGGUCACCCCAAAGGAGUUCCAUGAGCUUCCCUUCCUCAAGAAGUUUAAGUUCAAGAGACAGGACCGGGUGUUCCCCAAGGUGGCACCUGCCCCUCCCCCUUCCUCCUCUGCAGCCGCCCCCAUUCCCACUGCUCUCAGUAACCCCCUCUGAGGGAGUCUCUGCAGACACACCUCUGACAGGGAUGAAGCUGCUGACCAUUGGCAAGCUGAGACAGAACAAGGAUGAGCUGAAGGCUGCUGUGGAGGAGCUGCUCUUUGCCUCAGCACCAAGAGUGAGUAGCCAAUCAACCAG
rnacentral:lncRNA from 1 species